rnacentral:rRNA from 1 species
UACGUAGGGUGCAAGCGUUGUCCGGAAUUAUUGGGCGUAAAGAGCUCGUAGGCGGUCUGUCGCGUCGAAUGUGAAAACCCGGGGGCUCAACCCCGGGCCUGCAUUCGAUACGGGCAGACUAGAGUUCGGUAGGGGAGUCUGGAAUUCCUGGUGUAGCGGUGAAAUGCGCAGAUAUCAGGAGGAACACCGGUGGCGAAGGCGGGACUCUGGGCCGUGACUGACGCUGAGACGCGAAAGCGUGGGGAGCAAACAGG